rnacentral:rRNA from 1 species
UACGUAGGGGGCUAGCGUUGUUCGGAUUUACUGGGCGUAAAGGGCGCGUAGGCGGCGCAACAAGUCACUUGUGAAAUCUCCGGGCUUAACCCGGAGCGGUCAAGUGAUACUGUCGUGCUAGAGUGCGGAAGGGGCUACUGGAAUUCUCGGUGUAGCGGUGAAAUGCGUAGAUAUCGAGAGGAACACCUGCGGCGAAGGCGGGUAGCUGGGCCGACACUGACGCUGAUGCGCGAAAGCCAGGGGGAGCGAACGGG